UACGUAGGGGGCAAGCGUUGUCCGGAAUCAUUGGGCGUAAAGCGCGCGUAGGCGGCUCGAUCAGUCUGUUGUGAAAGUCAAAGGCUCAACCUUUGAAAGCCGAUGGAUACUGUGUGGCUAGAGUACGGAAGAGGCGAGUGGAAUUCCUGGUGUAGCGGUGGAAUGCGCAGAUAUCAGGAGGAACACCAAUAGCGAAGGCAGCUCGCUGGGACGUUACUGACACUGAGGCGCGAAAGCGUGGGGAGCGAACAGG
rnacentral:rRNA from 1 species